CAUCACAGGAAAUCAAUACAUCUACCAGGAAGUGUGGAACCUUUUCCAGCAAAUCAGUGUGAAGGCCAGUUCAGUGGUUUACUCCGCCACCAAAGACUACAGAGAUCAAGGCUACAGGCAUUGUUCUUUGGCUGUGAUAAAUGCUUUAGCUAAUAUCGCAGCCAACCUGCAUUGGGAGCAGCUG